rnacentral:misc_RNA from 1 species
GAUGAAGAACGUAGCGAAAUGCGAUACGUAAUGUGAAUUGCAAAUUCAGUGAAUCAUCGAGUCUUUGAACGCACAUUGCGCCCCCUGGUAUUCCGGGGGGCAUGCCUGUCCGAGCGUCAUUGCUGCCCUCAAGCACGGCUUGUGUGUUGGGCCCCGUCCUCCGAUCCCGGGGGACGGGCCCGAAAGGCAGCGGCGGCACCGCGUCCGGUCCUCGAGCGUAUGGGGCUUUGUCACCCGCUCUGUAGGCCCGGCCGGCGCUUGCCGAUCAACCCAAAUUUUUAUCCAGGUUGACCUCGGGUCAGGUAGGGAUACCCGCUGAACUUAAGCAUAUCAAUAAGCGGAGGA